GGCUGUCGCUGGGGGUGUCGCCAUGGGGCGGCUGAGAGGGCGUACUGAUGUGUGCCUAACCCUUUGAACCUGAAUGGGGUCAUACCUACGUAGGGAAUGUGAUUUUUCCUGUAU
rnacentral:ncRNA from 2 species